ACAUAUCACAGCCCAGGAUGUUUUAACUUUUUUUAUAAAAGAUAAAAGAUAAAGAGAUCUAGUACUUGCCCGGCCCCAGCCAAAUGAAACCCCAGACAUCAUUUUGGGUGCAUACAAAAGUGCAUCCCGGCAUUGAAGUGUUUCUGUUGGUCAAAGGAAAAAACUACAUCCUCCCUCCAUCAGUGUCAAACAAGAGAUUGUCGCACCCAAGAUUCAGCUCAAGUAUCCGUCGUUCCAGACAACAACUGUAUCCUGUUCAACUGGUGGAUAGAUUGUAAGGUGGAUGACAUGUGUGGAGCAGCGUCUCUCUGACUAUCUGAUGAGAUCAAACCCAUCAUCUGAUCAACAGCUGCAUCGUCCCCCCGCUCCCAGACGGUGAGGCUGGAGAUCGAUACAGCCCAUCUUCAGAAUAACGUUAGGCACUUCCUAAUGGUGCUAAUGAAGAGAGCUGUCUACAGAGAGUGAGAACAACCUUUCUCCAGGGACCUACCACAACCAACAUCACAAUGUUGUGAGCAGUACACCCAUAAAUACACAGACAUAUGGGGUCUCUCAGUGUUCUGCCUGUUUACCAUAAUCCUGUAUUCCAUCAGUAAAUAACAUUUAUUUUAC
ensembl:lncRNA